UCGAGCGGUCACUUCGGUGGGAGCGGCGGACGGGUUAGUAACGCGUGGGAAUAUACCCGGUACUAAGGAAUAGCCUUUGGAAACGAAGAGUAAUACCUUAUACGCCCUUCGGGGGAAAGAUUUAUCGGUAUCGGAUUAGCCCGCGUAAGAUUAGAUAGUUGGUGGGGUAAUGGCCUACCAAGUCUACGAUCCUUAGCUGGUUUUAGAGGAUGAUCAGCAACACUGGGACUGAGACACGGCCCAGACUCCUACGGGAGGCAGCAGUGGGGAAUCUUAGACAAUGGGCGCAAGCCUGAUCUAGCCAUGCCGCGUGAGUGAAGAAGGCCUUAGGGUCGUAAAACUCUUUCGCCAGAGAUGAUAAUGACAGUAUCUGGUAAAGAGACCCCGGCUAACUCCGUGCCAGCAGCCGCGGUAAUACGGAGGGGGUUAGCGUUGUUCGGAAUUACUGGGCGUAAAGCGCACGUAGGCGGACUGGAAAGUUGGGGGUGAAAUCCCGGGGCUCAACCUCGGAACUGCCUCCAAAACUAUCAGUCUAGAGUUCGAGAGAGGUGAGUGGAAUUCCAAGUGUAGAGGUGAAAUUCGUAGAUAUUUGGAGGAACACCAGUGGCGAAGGCGGCUCACUGGCUCGAUACUGACGCUGAGGUGCGAAAGUGUGGGGAGCAACAGGAUUAGAUACCCUGGUAGUCCACACCGUAAACGAUGAAUGCCAGUCGUCGGCAAGUAUACUUGUCGGUGACACACCUAACGGAUUAAGCAUUCCGCCU
rnacentral:rRNA from 1 species